CCUACGGGAGGCUGCAGUGGGGAAUAUUGGACAAUGGGCGAAAGCCUGAUCCAGCCAUGCCGCGUGUGUGAAGAAGGCCUUCGGGUUGUAAAGCACUUUCAGUGGGGAAGAAAGCCUUGGGGCUAAUACCCUCGAGGAAGGACAUCACCCACAGAAGAAGCACCGGCUAACUCCGUGCCAGCAGCCGCGGUAAUACGGAGGGUGCGAGCGUUAAUCGGAAUUACUGGGCGUAAAGCGCGCGUAGGCGGUCUGAUAAGCCGGUUGUGAAAGCCCCGGGCUCAACCUGGGAACGGCAUCCGGAACUGUCAGGAUAGAGUGCAGGAGAGGAAGGUAGAAUUCCCGGUGUAGCGGUGAAAUGCGUAGAGAUCGGGAGGAAUACCAGUGGCGAAGGCGGCCUUCUGGACUGACACUGACGCUGAGGUGCGAAAGCGUGGGUAGCAAACAGGAUUAGAUACCCGGGUAGUU
rnacentral:rRNA from 1 species